rnacentral:rRNA from 1 species
UACGUAGGGUGCAAGCGUUGUUCGGAAUUACUGGGCGUAAAGGAUGCGUAGGCGGACAUUUAAGUCAGAUGUGAAAUAACCCGAGCUUAACUUGGGUGCUGCAUUUGAAACUGGGUGUCUAGAGUGCAGGAGAGGUAAGUGGAAUCCUAGUGUAGCGGUGAAAUGCGUAGAGAUUAGGAAGAACACCAGUGGCGAAGGCGACUUACUGGACUGUAAACUGACGCUGAGGCAUGAAGCGUGGGA